rnacentral:rRNA from 1 species
UACGGGGGGGGCAAGCGUUGUUCGGAAUUACUGGGCGUAAAGGGCUCGUAGGCGGCCAACUAAGUCAGACGUGAAAUCCCUCGGCUUAACCGGGGAACUGCGUCUGAUACUGGUUGGCUUGAAUCCGGGAGAGGGAUGUGGAAUUCCAGGUGUAGCGGUGAAAUGCGCAGAUAUCAGGAGGAACACCAAUGGCGAAGGCAGCUCACUGGGACGGUACUGACGCUGAGGAGCGAAAGCGUGGGGAGCAAACAGG